CGCGGCCUAUCAGCUUGUUGGUGGGGUAAUGGCCUACCAAGGCUUCGAUCAGUAGCCGGCCUGAGAGGGUGAUCGGCCACACUGGAACUGAGACACGGUCCAGACUCCUACGGGAGGCAGCAGUGGGGAGUAUUGCGCAAUGGGGGAAACCCCGACGCAGCAACGCCGCGUGGAGGAUGAAGGCUCUCGGGUCGUAAACUCCUGUCAGGUGGGAAGAAAAGGCUCUGGCCAAUAUCCAGGGCUGUUGACGGUACCACCAGAGGAAGCCCCGGCCAACUCCGUGCCAGCAGCCGCGGUAAUACGGGGGGGGCAAGCGUUAUUCGGAAUUAUUGGGCGUAAAGGGCGCGCAGGCGGCCUGACAAGUCAAAGGUGAAAUCCCUCGGCCCAACCGAGGAACUGCCUUUGAAACUGUCAGGCUUGAGGCCGGGAGAGGGUAGUGGAAUUCCCAGUGUAGCGGUGAAAUGCGUAGAUAUUGGGAGGAACACCAGUGGCGAAGGCGGCUACCUGGACCGGUUCUGACGCUGAGGCGCGAAAGCGUGGGGAGCAAACAGGAUUAGAUACCCUGGUAGUCCACGCUGUAAACGAUGGGUACUCGGUGCUGCGGGUAUUGACCCCUGCAGUGCCUUAGCUAACGCGUUAAGUACCCCGCCUGGGGAGUACGG
rnacentral:rRNA from 1 species